CCGCGACCCCAGGUCAGGCGGGACUACCC
rnacentral:rRNA from 5 species